rnacentral:rRNA from 1 species
GAUGAACGCUGGCGGCGUGCUUAACACAUGCAAGUCGAGCGAGUGAGUUCUUCGGAACGAUCUAGCGGCGGACGGGUGAGUAACACGUGGGCAACCUGCCUCAUAGAGGGGAAUAGCCUCCCGGAAGGGAGAUUAAUACCGCAUAAAAUUAUCGAGUGGCAUCAACUGAUAAUCAAAGGAGUAAUCCGCUAUGAGGUGGGCCCGGGGCGCAUUAGCUAGUUGGUGAGGUAACGGCUAACCAAGGCGACGAUGCGUAGCCGAGCUGAGAGGGUGGUCAGCCACAUUGGGACUGGGACACGGCCCAGACGACUACGGGAGGCAGCAGUGGGGAAUAUUGCACAAUGGGGGAAACCCUGAUGCAGCAACGCCGCGUGAGUGAUGAAGGUCUUCGGAUUGGAAAGCUCUGUCUUUGGGGACGAUAAUGACGGUACCCAAGGAGGAAGCCACGGCUAACUACGUGCCAGCCGCCGCAGUAA